AUAACAGUGAGGGCAAAAGAGGGAGCCUCUGCCUCUCUCAAAGCCAAAGCUAAAGCAAGGGCUGUGAAGGCCAAGGAGGCAAGGCUGAGGUGUCUACAGCUACACACACACACACAUACACACACACACACACACACACACACACCCCUACAUGUCACUCACUUUUCAGCUGCCUGAGACGCUGUGGCUCCUGGGGCAGCUCAAGUAUCCACGGAAGACAGCCCUGAGGAGCUUGACCACUUGGCCAUCAUCAAGUUCCCCUGACUACUAAGUUGUCUGUGAAGAAGACAGAAGAUGGCAACACACUUGUGUUCAUUGUAAAUGUCAAGGCUAACAAGCAUCGGAUCAAGCAGGCCAGCUGAGGAGUUUGAACAUAAUGAAACCCCUUCUCUACAAAAAAUACAAAAAUUACUUGGAUAUGGUGGCAUGUGCCUGUCAUCCCAGCUAGUCAAAGGAGGUGAGGGGCUGGUCGACAGAGUAAGAU
rnacentral:lncRNA from 1 species